rnacentral:lncRNA from 1 species
CCCACUACCAAAACCACCAUAAAAAUUAGCUUGUUUUCAAGAAUUGCAGCCAUUGUUCUGCCAAGUAAAUAUAAUAUUGCUGUUGAAGCUGGUGAUUACAGGUGAAGAGUUUGUAGAGUGUCCGGCACAUUAGUUCUUUGAGGACUAAGGUUAUUUAUAGUUGUGUAUUAGUCCUUCCAUGGGAUUCCUUCAUAGUUGCACUCCCAUACUACCUGGUGAAUCCGGCAAGUCGUGAAUGAUGUUGACAAAUGAAUUUCAGUUUGUUGACGUUGCUACUUUCUAUGAGUUUCAACUUCCACGUUAUCUAGAUUUUGUAGUGUUAUGAGAAGCUGUGUUCCUGUUUCUUGGGAGUUGAUUUGUCUAAUGAUUAAGCUGUCUUUUUGUUGGUUCGUUAGGCUUUAGUCCAAGACUGAUCAAUUGUCUUUUGUAUUCUAUGACUAAGACCCUUGUUUUCCAAUUGUAUGUAACAACUAAUGAAAACUGAGAAGCUUUUGUGCAAAUAUGCUCUAGGCAUUCUAGACCGCAGUCCAAAAUCUCCAUUACAACAUUGCAUGAUCAAUUAUCUAUCAUGAAAACUCCUUUUCUAGAUGAUCUAUCUUCAAGUUCUGAAUGCUUUGAGAGUCUCAAUGCUGACCUACAAAGUAUCUGGAAAGCUUCUUAUUUUGUUCUAUCCUCUUCUAAAAUUUGCGACUAGCUUUCUGGGAAGUUGGAUAAAUGCAUUUUUGGAGCUAGACUUGUAGCCAUAAAAUUUUCUGUUAGAAUGUAGUUACUAGAAAAUAGAACAUUGAAUGGAAACUUGAAUUGUCGAGACCCAAAAUAAGUCCAUGCAGAAAUAUUCCAUUAGUUUUAACAAUUUUAUUUUGCAUUUAUUCACUUGUCUUUCCUUGUGUUAAUUUCUUUUUGCCACAGGACUUAGCAUACAGCUUCAGCUACUCAAGCCUAUGCAGGGACCCAUGCUCACCUCAAGUGAUGAAGAUGUUGAGGAAGGCUCUAUUGGAUUUUCAGUGGUAGGAGUUGAAAGAAUAAUGGCUAAUAGACAAAACGCAGCGCGAUAAAUAUGGGUUAAUGAAACGGUGCGUAUAAAGAAAUGCACAGGGAUGAAUUUCGGCGUCUCUUUCUAAGGCUAUGUCGAACUGAUGUCGAACUAAAAAAACACCUAACUGAUGCCGAAUUGGAAAAAAUCGAAGUGGUGCUGAAUUGGGAAACACCGAAUUGAUAUCGAACUAAAAAGUCAUGCCUUCCACAUACAUCAGAUUACGAAAAAGAAUUUAAGCGGGAAACAAAUAGUUAAUUAUGAAAGUAGUUAGCACUUUGUUGAGUAGAACCUCUAGAUCAUUCUAGUAGCUUCUGCUUUUAUAUAUAUAAGUUAACACAAAGCAAGCAAUAUAUAUGAAUUUUUUCUCUCUUCUAUUUUCUAUUAUAGUUAUUACAUUCUAUUCAUGGUAUCAGAGCUUGAUAAUCAAGUUUCUGUAGUAGUUAUGGCUAGUACCAGUAAUGUGACCCCAACUAUGAAUCAGAAGGGCCACCUCACUCUGCAUAAUUCUGAUUCUCCAGGAGCAGUGUUGGUGAGCAUACUACUCAUUGGAGAAAAUUACCUGACUUGGAGCAUAUCGAUACUGACUACACUGCGAACCAAGGAUAAAGUUGGUUUUGUAAUGGAAAAAUAAAAGAAAUUUGAGGAAGACUCUCAGGAUUUUGAACAAUGGCAAAAAGUCGAUAGCAUGGUAAUUUUUGUAUACCAUGACUUUUCCUGAACUAUGGGAAUAGUUGACUCAACAUUUUAGAGGCAGCAAUGGACCUCAGAUCUACUAGAUCGUGAGAAAUAAGCUUAUUCCAACAAGGCAACAUGAAUGUAAUGGUUUAUUUUACUAGACUCAAUAAAUUUUGGGAUGAAUUAACUUGUGUCAGACAACCUAUUUGUACUUGUGAUGCUGCAAAAGAGAUGAGUGACAUCUGUGAAAGCGAUAAAUUGAUCUAGUUCCUCAUGGAAUUAAAUUCAUUAUAUGAUCACGUUAGGAAUCAAAUCCUCCUCAUGAAUCUGUUUUUCCCAUUGAAUUGUGCAUAUGCCAUGGUAUUGAGAGUUGAAAAACUAAAAAAGGUUAACACAAAUCAUAAAAUUGUGUUUGAUAUACAAAUCAUAUGCCAUGGUUUCUUGGAAGUAUACUUCUAAGGAAUUAAUUUGACGGAAACUAGAUAUAAUUAUGAUUGGUAUAUAAAUCAUAAAAUUAUUUUUAAUUGGUAAAAGAUGAUAAUAUCUAUAAUAUAAUUUCAAAUGUAAUAAAUUAAGAGAUAAAUUGAUAAAUUCAAUACAAAUUAAUCCUUCCCAAAAUUUUGCUACGAAAGUCAUGAUCGAAAUAAUUUCCCAUAAAUUAACUUAAAAUGCAAACCAAAAAAAGAGUUUUUGCACUUUUCUGAAAAGUGUCACUCCCUUACUUUAUUUACCCUCAAUCAAACAAGACUUAAUAUUUACACUUAGAAUGCAUAUCAUACUAUGCUACUAUUUAGUCCUCCCCUUAUUUAUUAUUUUCAAUAAAAAAAUAUUUUUAUUUUUCUCAUCUUCCAUAUUUCAAAUCAAAGUCUUUACCCAAAAUUUUUCUUAAAAUUUUCAUUUAUUAUUUAAUUUAAUUUUUUACAUUAUUUAUAUUAUUAUAGAGUGAUAAUUUUUUUAUCUCACUUAGUUACUAAUCUAUUUAUGUGAUUAAAAUUAUAUAUUAAAUUAUUUAAAUUUAUAUAUCUUUUUUAAAAAAAUACUUUAUGUGUAAUGUUAAUUUAUUUAAUGGUUUUAUGGACUAUUUAAAUUAAGAAAAAAUACAAAAUAUAAAUUAAAAAAUAUGGGUUUAAUAGGUAAUAGGUUAGAUUAUUAAUUUAAAAAAUCUUAAAUAUGAAAAGUAUGAGUUUGAUUUGUGCUGCUGGUGCAAUUUGAAGGCGAAAUUUUUUUUAUUAGACAUGAAAAUUAGGUAGCGAACCAUUGGCAUUAAACAUAGUGCUUCUACAUAUAAAGAAUAAGUCAUUUUGAGCAUUCAAUAUCAAGAUUCAAUAGAAAAAUCCAAACCCACCUAAAUUUCUAUACGAGAAGCAUAAUAUUAUUCUGACAACAUUCAGGAAAAAAAAAAAAAACAUUCAGGAAAUACUUGGACUCUAGAGCUUGUAGCUAUGAAAUUAUCUGUCAGCAACCAUAAUUCCUAGGAUUUAAUCUCUUACAUAGCCACCAGCUUUUCUAGACUUUACAUUUUAAAUUGAAUUUGCUUGUUCCACAGAGAAGAUAUAUUGAUGGCUUUGCAUGCAACUUUGAUGCUUGGACUUGGAGUGUAAGUAAAAGAUUGAAAGAGGAAAAAUCACCCAUUUCAUUAUCACAGUAAAACUUUAUAUACAUUCACACAGCAGCUGGCAAUAAUAGAAAUUUAAGGUCCACACAUCUUUACUUUGCUGCUAUUUAUGCAGUUGGAUAGGAAGGCUCCAUGGCUAUUCCACAAAGACCUUCCUUAGCAUCAAUGUCUCUUUCCAUUCUUAUGUAUCCAUCUUCACCCCAUGAAGUUCCCCAUGAGUUCUUCACUAACCAGUACUUUUUACCAUCAUCACUUGUCCCAUACCCCACUGCAGUAACUCCAUGAUCUAGCUCAGUUCCACAAUCUCCUGUAAACACCCCACUUGAGUAGAACUGAAAGGCAGAUCCACUGGCAUCAAUUGCCACAGAAAGUGGCUGGUUGGCUACCGCCUUUCUUAGCGACUCCUCGCUGUUGGCAGGAACAUCUUCAUAACCUGUAAUCUUGGCUGCAUGGUUAGAUGCCUUCCCAUUGUUGCAAGUGCCAUCCACUCCUUGGUAGGGAUAGUUUGCUUCGGUUGUUAGGCCUCCAUUCUUUAUGAUGAAUUUAAAUGCAUCAUCCAUAAGGCCACCUUCACAGCCUUGAUCUUCACCACUCGUGUCACAAUCAACUAAUUCUUGCUCCGAAAGAGAGAUCAACUUGCCUGUUGAGAGCUUUGUAAUGCCUUCCAUGGCUGCCACAGCAGAAAAUGCCCAGCAACAUCCUGCAAUUUUUUCAUAAUAAUACAUGGUUAAGUGAGUAAAAGGAAAAUCAUAGUACCAUGUAAAUAGAAGAGGCUAUUGUGCCUUACCACAUUGGCUUUGGUCCUUGAUGGGUGUGACAGCUCCUUUCUUUGUCCAAUCAAUGGAAGUUGGCACUGUAGUGACAUUUUCAUACCUAAACGGUGAUGUUUCAGGUGUCUUAAAAAUGGAAGAACUUCUGUAUCCAUUUUUGGAAUUCCUGAAUUCUUCAUUAGUAAGGUCUGCAAAUGCAUUGACGCCAAGCUUGUAAGGCCUAUGCCCAGCAUUGUUGAAGGAUUCAAUGAACUCCACAUUCUCCUUGAAUAUAUUAAAGCGUCUUUCCUUCUCAGCAUUAUCUUUAUAUACACGUCCAUAUUUAGCAAUCCAAAUUUCAUGCUUCUCAGCCAUGGUUGCAUCCUUCAGAGAGCGGGACCAGGCUUGAGACACCCAGAGCCCCACUACCAAAACCACCAUAAAAAUUAUCUUGUUUUCAAGAAUUGCAGCCAUUGUUCUGCCAAGUAAAUAUAAUAUUGCUGUUCAAGCUGGUGAUUACAGGUGAAGAGUUUGUAGAUUGUGUCUGGCACGUUAGCUCUUUGAGGACUAAGGUUAUUUAUAGUUGUGUAUUAGUCCUUCCAUGGGAUUCCUUCAUAGUUGCAUUCCCAUACUACCUGGUGAAUCCGGCAAGUCGUGAAUGAUGUGGACAAUUGAAUUUCAGUUUGUUGACGUUGCUACUUUCUAUG